AGAGUUUGAUCCUGGCUCAGAAUCAACGCUGGCGGCGUGCCUAACACAUGCAAGUCGAACGAGAAAGGGACUUCGGUCCUGAGUACAGUGGCGCACGGGUGAGUAACACGUGACUAACCUACCCUGGAGUGGGGAAUAACUGAGGGAAACCUUAGCUAAUACCGCAUAAUACCUACGGGUCAAAGGAGCAAUUCGCUUCAGGAGGGGGUCGCGGCCGAUUAGUUAGUUGGCGGGGUAAUGGCCCACCAAGACAGUGAUCGGUAUCCGGCCUGAGAGGGCGCACGGACACACUGGAACUGAAACACGGUCCAGACUCCUACGGGAGGCAGCAGUGGGGAAUUUUGCGCAAUGGGGGAAACCCUGACGCAGCAACGCCGCGUGGAGGAUGAAAUCCCUUGGGAUGUAAACUCCUUUCGAUCGGGACGAUUAUGACGGUACCGGAAGAAGAAGCCCCGGCUAACUUCGUGCCAGCAGCCGCGGUAAUACGAGGGGGGCAAGCGUUGUUCGGAAUUAUUGGGCGUAAAGGGAGCGUAGGCGGUUUUGUAAGUCGUGUGUGAAAUCUUCGGGCUCAACCCGAAGUCUGCACACGAAACUGCAGGGCUUGAGUAUGGGAGAGGUGAGUGGAAUUCCUGGUGUAGCGGUGAAAUGCGUAGAUAUCAGGAGGAACACCUGUGGCGAAAGCGGCUCACUGGACCAUUACUGACGCUGAGGCUCGAAAGCUAGGGGAGCAAACAGGAUUAGAUACCCUAGUAGUCC
rnacentral:rRNA from 1 species